GAAUAUGAUGAUUUUUUUUUUGUCGCCCCAGUCUAACAUGCAUCUCUUUGAUGCAAGAUGGUGAAUGACAUUAAUGUAAUCUGAUUC